GCUGGCAACUGAUGGUCAGAUAUCCUACACUCCCAAUGGACAAUUCAAUGUGUGGACUAAUAAUCUUCGCUCAUUAUCUGAUGCCUUG